rnacentral:rRNA from 1 species
CAAUAGCGUAUAUUAAAGUUGUUGCGGUUAAAAAGCUCGUAGUUGGAUUUCUGCUGAGAACGACCGGUCCGCCCUUUGGGUGUGUAUCUGGCUCUUUCUUGGCAUCUUCUUGGUGAACGUUGCUGCACUUGACUGUGUGGAGCGCUACCCAGGACUUUUACUUUGAGGAAAUUAGAGUGUUUCAAGCAGGCAUACGCCUUGAAUACAUUAGCAUGGAAUAAUAAGAUAGGACCUCGGUUCUAUUUUGUUGGUUUCUAGAGCUGAGGUAAUGAUUAAUAGGGAUAGUUGGGGGCAUUCGUAUUUAACUGUCAGAGUUGAAAUUCUUGGAUUUGUUAAAGACGGACUACUGCGAAAGCAUUUGCCAAGGAUGUUUUCAUUGA